GUGGCGGGACGACCCGCCACUUUUCCCGUUUCGUGGGGACGGCCCUG
rnacentral:ncRNA from 1 species